AUGAAGUGUUGUACAUGUCCAGGUACAUCUAGAUAAAGUAUCCCUCCUCCACCCCAUGAAGUGUUGUACAUGUCCAGGUACAUCUAGAUAAAGUAUCCCUCCUCCACCCCAUGAAGUGUUGUACAUGUCCAGGUACAUCUAGAUAAAGUAUCCCUCCUCCACCCCAUGAAGUGUUGUACAUGUCCAGGUACAUCUAGAUAAAGUAUCCCUCCUCCACCACAUGAAGUGUUGUACAUGUCCAGGUACAUCUAGAUAAAGUAUCCCUCCUCCACCCCAUGAAGUGUUGUACAUGUCCAGGUACAUCUAGAUAAAGUAUCCCUCCUCCACCCCAUGAAGUGUUGUACAUGUCCAGGUACAUCUAGAUAAAGUAUCCCUCCUCCACCCCAUGAAGUGUUGUACAUGUCCAGGUACAUCUAGAUAAAGUAUCCCUCCUCCACCCCAUGAAGUGUUGUACAUGUCCAGGUACAUCUAGAUAAAGUAUCCCUCCUCCACCCCAUGAAGUGCUGUACAUGUCCAGGUACAUCUAGAUAAAGUAUCCCUCCUCCACCCCAUGAAGUGUUGUACAUGUCCAGGUACAUCUAGAUAAAGUAUCCCUCCUCCACCCCAUGAAGUGUUGUACAUGUCCAGGUAUAUAUAGUUCUUGGUUUAUCCCUCCUCCACCCCAUGAAGUGUUGUACAUGUCCAGGUAUAUAUAGUUCUUGGUUUAUCCCUCCUCCAACCCCAUGAAGUGUUGUACAUGUCCAGGUGUAUAUAGUUCUUGGUUUAUCCCUCCUCCAACCCCAUGAAGUGUUGUACAUGUCCAGGUAUAUAUAGUUCUUGGUUUAUCCCUCCUCCACCCCAUGAAGUGUUGUACAUGUCCAGGUGUAUAUAGUUCUUGGUUUAUCCCUCCUCCACCCCAUGAAGUGUUGUACAUGUCCAGGUGUAUAUAGUUCUUGGUUUAUCCCUGUUGGAGGAAAUUAUAGUUGAAAUGAUUAAUUAUGUAUACAUUUCCAUUAGAACCAUUUAUUUUAAUACUAUUA